AGCAGCCGCAGUAAUUCCAGCUCCAAUAGCGUAUAUUAAAGUUGUUGCAGUUAAAAAGCUCGUAGUUGAAUUUCGGGGUUAGUAGGUUGGUCAUGCCUCUGGUAUGUACUGGUCUCACUGAUUCCUCCUUCCUGAUGAGCCGUAAUGCCAUUAAUUUGGUGUUGCGGGGAAUUUGGACUGUUACUUUGAAAAAUUAGAGUGUUUAAAGCAAGCUAACGCUUGAAUACAUUAGCAUGGAAUAGUGAAAUAGGACGUUCGAUCCUAUUUUGUUGGUUUCUAGGAUUGACGUAAUGAUUAAUAGGGAUAGUUGGGGGCAUUAGUAUUCAAUUGUCAGAGGUGAAAUUCUUGGAUUUAUUGAAGACUAACUACUGCGAAAGCAUUUGCCAAGGAUGUUUUCAUUAAUCAAGAACGAAAGUUAGGGGAUCGAAGACGAUCAGAUACCGUCGUAGUCUUAACCAUAAAUUAUGCCGACUAGGGAUCGGAUGAUGUUAAUUUUUAAUGACUCAUUCGGCGUACC
rnacentral:rRNA from 1 species